rnacentral:lncRNA from 1 species
UGCAGGCUGCUGUUUAUCAGUGGCGGCUGCUGCUGCUAUCAGUAACACAGCUCAUCAUUCACUGCCACAUUGUUCCAACAAACAAUGGGCCCGUGUUCGCAGUGUGCACUACAGAAAUCUGAUUUACUGAUCAAUGGCCUUGAUGGUUUUGUCUUCCACACAAUGAGCCGUGAUGAGACUGUGACAAGCUGAAGGUGGAACAAUGGCAGCCAGGAGUUUUCUACUUCACCUGCAUUCUUUCUUGUUUUCAUUUGGCCUCAUAUGCAAAAAUAAGUUUGUCUCCAACUGUCGCUGUGAACACAGUUUUCUGAGCAAACUUGGCUUGAACUUCGAUCCAGUGAAGCGCUCUCCGUUGGUUGAGUGGCAGCAGUUGGAUCCUCACAUGGCUGUUUGUCAUUCUCUGCAGGUUAAACCCCCGCUGGGCACAGAACACGGCUUCUGGGCCACGCGUCCACGCGAAGGAUUUGUUGUCUGUGCUGCACAGACACCACAGAAGAAGAGUUUUCCGUCCGUCUUUCCGUCCGUCCGUUCGUCCGUCUGUCCGUCGUUCCGUCCGUCCGUCCGUCCGUCUUUUCGUCCGUCGUUCUGUCCGUCCGUCCAUCCGUCCGUCUGUCCGUCGUUCUGUCCGUCUGUCCAUCGUUCUGUCCGUCUUUCCGUCCGUCUCUUCGUCCGUCUGUCCGUCGUUCUGUCCAUCUGUCCGUCCGUCCGUCUUUCCGUCCGUCCUCAUGCCUGUCACGCCUCAGCGCCGCUCUCUGAAUGGAUGCCGCUCGCUCCGCAGACUCGUGGAUCCUUCAUCAGUCACACACGCUUGUGUUUUUCCAGGAGGAGGAGGAAGAGACGGAUGCCACCUGGGUUCCCGCUCACCGUUCGUGAGGCGUUCAGGGGCCGGUGCUUUCUGUUCAGAUCAGAACUCUUCCUUCAAGAAACCCACGAAUCGAUGGACAGUGAAGGAGGAUUAAGAGAAUUCAACCAGAAAAAAGGAAGCGUGUGUGAAAUAAUGACAACGGCUGCAGCUGCAACCUGACACACAACGAGCGCAGCAAAUAUCGCAACGUGUUCUAUCAGCCACAUAAAAGAGAC